UACGGAGGGUGCAAGCAUUAAUCGGAUUUAUUGGGCGUAAAGGGUGCGUAGGCGGAUAUAUAAGUCGGGUGUGAAAUUCCGGGGCUCAACCUCGGAGCCGCACUUGAUACUGUAUAACUUGAGGGUUGGCGGAGAGAAUGGAAUUCCACGUGUAGCGGUGAAAUGCGUAGAUAUGUGGAAGAACACCGGUGGCGAAAGCGGUUCUCUAGCUAACACCUGACGCUGAGGCACGAAAGCAAGGGGAGCAAACAGG
rnacentral:rRNA from 1 species